rnacentral:rRNA from 1 species
AUUGAACGCUGGCGGCAUGCUUUACACAUGCAAGUCGAACGGUAACAGGUUAAGCUGACGAGUGGCGAACGGGUGAGUAAUGCAUCGGAACGUGCCCGGUCGUGGGGGAUAACACUUCGAAAGAAGUGCUAACACCGCAUACGAUCUGAGGAUGAAAGCGGGGGACCGUAAGGCCUCGCGCGAUCGGAGCGGCCGAUGUCAGAUUAGGUAGUUGGUGGGGUAAAGGCUCACCAAGCCGACGAUCUGUAGCUGGUCUGAGAGGAUGACCAGCCCCACGGGGACUGGGAAACGGCCCAGACCCAUACGGGAGGCAGCAGUGGGGAAUUUUGGACAAUGGGCGAAAGCUUGAUCCAGCAAUGCCGCGUGCAGGAAGAAGGCCUUCGGGUUGUAAACUGCUUUUGUACGGAGCGAAAAGGCUCUCUCUAAUAAAGGGGGCUCAUGACGGUACCGUAAGAAUAAGCUCCGGCUAACUACGUACCAGCCGCCGCGGUAA